UCUAGCGACCUCCACGUACACGGUGGAUGCCUAGGCAAUCAGAGGCGAAGAAGGACGUGUUAAUCUGCGAAAAGCAACGGUAAGUCGAUAAAAGGCGCUAUAACCGUUGAUGUCCGAAUGGGGAAACCCAGUGCAGGCGACUGCACUAUCAUCUGAUGAAUACAUAGUCAGAUGAGGCGAACCGGGAGAACUGAAACAUCUAAGUACCCCGAGGAAAAGAAAUCAACCGAGAUUCCCUAAGUAGCGGCGAGCGAAAGGGGAGGAGCCCAAGCGGGUAGCAUAAUGUAUUAGUGGAAGCGUCUGGAAAGUCGCACGAUAGAGGGUGAAAGUCCCGUACACGAAGAUGCAUUAUGUGGAAGCUUAUAGAGUAGGGCGGGACACGUGAUAUCCUGUCUGAAGAUGGGGGGACCAUCCUCCAAGGCUAAAUACUCCUGAUUGACCGAUAGUGAACCAGUACCGUGAGGGAAAGGCGAAAAGAACCCCGGGAGGGGAGUGAAAUAGACCCUGAAACCGUGUACGUACAAUCAGUGGGAGCUGUUACCGUUGGGUAAUAGUGACUGCGUACCUUUUGUAUAAUGGGUCAGCGACUUAUAUUCUGUAGCAAGGUUAACCGAAUAGGGGAGCCGAAGGGAAACCGAGUAUUAACUGUGCGUUAAGUUGCAGGGUAUAGACCCGAAACCCGGUGAUCUAGCCAUGGGCAGGUUGAAGGUUGGUUAACACUAACUGGAGGACCGAACCGACUAAUGUUGAAAAAUUAGCGGAUGACCUGUGGCUGGGGGUGAAAGGCCAAUCAAACCGGGAGAUAGCUGGUUCUCCCCGAAAGCUAUUUAGGUAGCGCCUCAUGAGUAACUGUUGGGGGUAGAGCACUGUUUCGGCUAGGGGGCCAUCCCGGCUUACCAACCCGAUGCAAACUGCGAAUACUGACAAGUUUAAUCAUGGGAGACACACGGCGGGUGCUAACGUUCGUCGUGAAGAGGGAAACAACCCAGACCGCCAGCUAAGGUCCCAAAGUCAUAGUUAAGUGGGAAACGAAGUGGGAAGGCUUAGACAGCUAGGAUGUUGGCUUAGAAGCAGCCAUCAUUUAAAGAAAGCGUAAUAGCUCACUAGUCGAGUCGGCCUGCGCGGAAGAUGUAACGGGGCUAAAACUAUGCACCGAAGCUGCGGCAGCGCACGAAAGUGUGUUGGGUAGGGGAGCGUUCUGUAAGCCGUUGAAGGUGCAUUGUGAGGUGUGCUGGAGGUAUCAGAAGUGCGAAUGCUGACAUAAGUAACGAUAAAGCGGGUGAAAAGCCCGCUCGCCGGAAGACCAAGGGUUCCUGUCCAACGUUAAUCGGGGCAGGGUGAGUCGACCCCUAAGGAGAGGCCGAAGGGCGUAUCUGAUGGGAAACGGGUUAAUAUUCCCGUACUGGCUAUAACUGCGAUGGGGGGACGAAGAAGGCUAGGUUUACCACCUAUUGGAUGGUGGGUUAAACGUGUAGGGGUGUGAUUAGGCAAAUCCGGUCACUAAGACUCUGAGGCGUGACGACGAGGCACUAAGGUGCUGAAGUAAUUGAUGCCCUGCUUCCAGGAAAAUCCUCUAAGCUUCAGGUUAUAGUUAAUCGUACCCGAAACCGACACAGGUGGUCAGGUAGAGNAUACUAAGGCGCUUGAGAGAACUCNGGNGAAGGAACUAGGCAAAAUGGUGCCGUAACUUCGGGAGAAGGCACGCUGAUGGUAAUUGAANUCCCAUGCGGAUGGAGGUGAAAUCAGUCGAAGAUACCAGCUGGCUGCAACUGUUUAAUAAAAACACAGCACUGUGCAAACACGAAAGUGGACGUAUACGGUGUGACGCCUGCCCGGUGCUGGAAGGUUAAUUGAUGGGGUUAUGCGNAAGCAGAAGCUCUUGAUCGAAGCCCCAGUAAACGGCGGCCGUAACUAUAACGGUCCUAAGGUAGCGAAAUUCCUUGUCGGGUAAGUUCCGACCUGCACGAAUGGCGUAAUGAUGGCCAGGCUG
rnacentral:rRNA from 1 species